rnacentral:rRNA from 1 species
GGUGAACGCUGGCGGCGUGCUUAAGACAUGCAAGUCGAACGCAUUCUUCGGACUGAGUGGCGCACGGGUGAGUAACACGUAACUGACCUACCCCCAAGUCGCGAAUAACCAGCCGAAAAGAUGGCUAAUACGUGAUGUGGUGAUCCGCUGGUGCGGAUCAUUAAAGACUUGAUCGCUUGGGGAUGGGGUUGCGGUUCAUCAGCUAGUGGGUAAGGUAAAGGCUUACCAAGGCAACGACGGAUAGCCGGCCUGAGAGGGUGGCCGGGCACAGGGGCACUGAGACACGGGUCCCACUCCUACGGGAGGCAGCAGUUAGGAAUCUUCCACAAUGGGCGCAAGCCUGAUGGAGCGACGCCGCGUGAGGGAUGAAGGUUCUCGGAUCGUAAACCUCUGAACCAACGACGAAAGACCCGACAAGGGAGAUGACGGUAGUUGGGUAAUAGCACCGGCUAACUCCGUGCCAGCAGCCGCGGUAAUAC